UUGAAUAAGCUUGGUUGGGUUGUUGCUGGCUCUCAGGAGCAUGUGCACGCCUAACACCAACUUUUACCACCUGUGCACAUUUUGUAGACCUGGAUAAAACUCUCGAGGAAACUCGGUUUGAGGAAUGCUGUGCGCAAGCCAGCUUUCCUUGUACUUCUGGUCUAUGUUUUUAUAUAUACACACCCCUAUAGUAUGUCUCGGAAUGUUUGUUUGUUGGGCUUGAAUGCCUUUAAACUUAAUA
rnacentral:misc_RNA from 1 species